rnacentral:rRNA from 1 species
AACGCGAAGAACCUUACCUGGGCUCGAAAUGUAGUGGACCGGGGUAGAAAUAUCCCUUCCCCGCAAGGGGCCGCUAUAUAGGUGCUGCAUGGCUGUCGUCAGCUCGUGUCGUGAGAUGUUGGGUUAAGUCCCGCAACGAGCGCAACCCUCGUCCUAUGUUGCCAGCGGGUAAUGCCGGGGACUCAUAGGAGACUGCCGGGGUCAACUCGGAGGAAGGUGGGGAUGACGUCAAGUCCUCAUGCCCCUUAUAUCUUGGGCUGCAAACAUGCUACAAUGGCCAGUACAGAGGGCUGCGAGACCGCAAGGUGGAGCGAAUCUCAAAAAGCUGGUCUCAGUUCGGAUUGGGGUCUGCAACUCGACCCCAUGAAGUCGGAGUCGCUAGUAAUCGCGAAUCAGCAACGUCGCGGUGAAUACGUUCCCGGGGCCUUGUACACACCGACUGUAC